rnacentral:rRNA from 1 species
CAGUCGCCGCGGGAAUACGUAGGCGGCAAGCGUUGUCCGGAAUUAUUGGGCGUAAAGGGCUCGCAGGCGGUUUCUUAAGUCUGAUGUGAAAGCCCCCGGCUCAACCGGGGAGGGUCAUUGGAAACUGGGAAACUUGAGUGCAGAAGAGGAGAGUGGAAUUCCACGUGUAGCGGUGAAAUGCGUAGAGAUGUGGAGGAACACCAGUGGCGAAGGCGACUCUCUGGUCUGUAACUGACGCUGAGGAGCGAAAGCGUGGGGAGCGAACAGGAUUAGAUACCCGAGUAGUCCCUGUCUCUUAUAC